rnacentral:miRNA from 1 species
AUGGUAGAGGUCGAGUCCG